CCUACGGGAGGCUGCAGUGGGGAAUAUUGCACAAUGGGCGCAAGCCUGAUGCAGCCAUGCCGCGUGUGUGAAGAAGGCCUUCGGGUUGUAAAGCACUUUCAGCGGGGAGGAAGGCGGUGAGGUUAAUAACCUCAUCGAUUGACGUUACCCGCAGAAGAAGCACCGGCUAACCCCGUGCCAGCAGCCGCGGUAAUACGGAGGGUGCAAGCGUUAAUCGGAAUUACUGGGCGUAAAGCGCACGCAGGCGGUCUGUCAAGUCGGAUGUGAAAUCCCCGGGCUCAACCUGGGGACUGCAUUCGGAACUGGCAGGCUAGAGUCUUGUAGAGGGGGGUAGAAUUCCAGGUGUAGCGGUGAAAUGCGUAGAGAUCUGGAGGAAUACCGGUGGCGAAGGCGGCCCCCUGGACAAAGACUGACGCUCAGGUGCGAAAGCGUGGGGAGCAAACAGGAUUAGAUACCCCGGUAGUC
rnacentral:rRNA from 1 species